rnacentral:rRNA from 1 species
UCAGGAUGAACGCUGGCGGCGUGCCUAACACAUGCAAGUCGAACGGAGUUAAGGGAAAUUUCGGUAUGGAACUUAACUUAGUGGCGGACGGGUGAGUAACGCGUGGAUAACCUGCCUCACACUGGGGGAUAGCAGCUGGAAACGGCUGGUAAUACCGCAUAAGACCACAGCACCGCAUGGUGCAGGGGUAAAAGAUUUAUCGGUGUGAGAUGGAUCCGCGUCUGAUUAGCCAGUUGGCGGGGUAACGGCCCACCAAAGCGACGAUCAGUAGCCGGCCUGAGAGGGUGAACGGCCACAUUGGGACUGAGACACGGCCCAAACUCCUACGGGAGGCAGCAGUGGGGAAUAUUGCACAAUGGGCGCAAGCCUGAUGCAGCAACGCCGCGUGAGUGAAGAAGUAUUUCGGUAUGUAAAGCUCUAUCGGCAGGGAAGAAAGGCCCAUAACAGGGAGAUGACGGUACCUGACUAAGAAGCCCCGGCUAACUACGUGCCAGCAGCGGC